rnacentral:rRNA from 1 species
GAUGAACGCUGGCGGCGUGCCUAAUACAUGCAAGUCGAGCGAAUGGAUUAAGAGCUUGCUCUUAUGAAGUUAGCGGCGGACGGGUGAGUAACACGUGGGUAACCUGCCCAUAAGACUGGGAUAACUCCGGGAAACCGGGGCUAAUACCAGAUAACAUUUUGAACCGCAUGGUUCGAAAUUGAAAGGCGGCUUCGGCUGUCACUUAUGGAUGGACCCGCGUCGAAUUAGCUAGUUGGUGAGGUAACGGCUCACCAAGGCAACGAUGCGUAGCCGACCUGAGAGGGUGAUCGGCCACACUGGGACUGAGAGACGGACCAGACUCCUACGGGAGGAAGCAGUAAGGAAUCGUCCGCAAUGGACGAAAGUCCGACGGAGCAACGCCGCGUGAGUGAUGAAGGCUUUCGGGUCGUAAAACUCUGUUGUUAGGGAAGAACAAGUGCUAGUUGAAUAAGCUGGCACCUUGACGGUACCUAACCAGAAAGCCACGGCUAACUACGUGCCAGCCGCCGCGGUAA